AAUCAACGCUGGCGGCGUGCCUAACACAUGCAAGUCGAACGCGAGAGGGGCUUCGGCCCCGAUUGAGUGGCGAACGGGUGAGUAACGCGUGGGUGACCUACCUUCGAGUGGGGGAUAACGUCCCGAAAGGGACGCUAAUACCGCAUAACAUCCUGCUUUUGAAUGGGUGGAGAUCAAAGCCGGGGAUCGCAAGACCUGGCGCUUGAUGAGGGGGCCCGCGUCUGAUUAGCUAGNGGUGAGGUAACGGCCCACCAAGGCAACGAUCAGUAUCCGGCCUGAGAGGGCGGACGGACACACUGGGACUGAGACACGGCCCAGACUCCUACGGGAGGCAGCAGUGGGGAAUUGUUCGCAAUGGGCGCAAGCCUGACGACGCAACGCCGCGUGGAGGAUGAA
rnacentral:rRNA from 1 species